rnacentral:lncRNA from 1 species
CCCUUCUGAAAGCGGCCGCAGAGCUGCCCCCCGCCCGGGACAAAGCGGGACGGAGACCCAAAAAGGCCGAGGGAAUGAUGUGAACGACUUCCAUCACGACUGUGGGGUGAAUUGAGAUGGACCCCCUGUCUGACACCUCUGUUCUGCUCUGUGCCUGUUGCUGUGCCAGCGUUCAACACCGCCUCCAGUCUGACCGGUUCCCAUUUCGCUGAGGCGUGAGGCUGUAACAUCUGUAACGCGGGGACUGUGGGCACCUUUCUUCUUUCUCAAAUUAAUGAAUGCUGAGCAGACAGAGCCCUUUUAUCACAGCUGUGCUCUUAUCAGACCAUCUCCUCUAUUCCUUCCUUCCCCAGCCAUUGUGGAAGCAGACAUCCUGCCCAAGGCAUCCAAACCCACAAUCUGCCGCUUCUUCUACCGAGCCUCUGGAUUUUUGCCAGCAGCCCCUUGAGAGGGUCCCAGAUGUGACUGCUGCUUCUGUGCUGCCCUGAACGUAUCCGGUGAAAACAAAGGGCCACACUCAGCACGGUUGCCGCUUCGGAGGCCAACACUUCCUCCUCUGUCAGGGCUGUACGGUGGGAGACAGUGGUGCUGAGGCACCCCAGGGAUGAGGCGCUUCCAUGGCACUGUGCUCAGAGAGGCUUUUGGACACCUCGGGCCCACCGCAGCGGGAGGAGAAGAGAGAGCCUACCAAUGCAUGGCAGGUGCAAAUGCUGCCACAAGGCUGAACACCUCCUUCCCUUCCAAGGUGCUCUGUGAAGCUGGCAGCCCGUGGCUUGGACAGCUGCAUUGGGAUGGAAUUGAUACAGAGGCCUGGAUUUUUGCAACAUUCUCCCUCAUGCAGGACACCUCUGGGAAACCACCCGCGCUGCAGGGAGGAUCCUGCCAGCACCACUGGCAAUGCCAGGGCAGCCAUCUGCUGCAGGUGACCGUCCUCCUCUGCCACUCCUCCCAGGCACUCAGAGCCUUGUUGGGCUGUCCUGACUCAGUGCUCAGGGCUGUGCGCAAAGGAAAUGUUCUCCUGAGGUUCCUUGCUGUGCUCAGAUUUGCUCCUGAAGCAGGAGAUGUAGUGAUCUCAACUUCAACACGGAUAAUUACAAUUGUAGUUCCUGCCCCUUCAGUGAUGCAGGUCUGUAUUCAACCUGACUGGGGUCUGUAACCUCUGCUAGCUGCAAGUGCUCUCAGCCACUGGGCCUGCGUGUUGUGUGAAGUGCUGUUUGUUUUUCCUUCUAUUCUUGCUAAUGUUACCUGCUGUGGAUGAUGCAAUCAGGCUGACAACCUGCUGUGGAUGAUGCAAUCAGGCUGACAACCUACUGUGGAUGAUGCAAUCAGGUUGACAAGCAGAGAUCAUGGAGAGGUUCUAAGUCCAGGAUGGAAUAAGGAGGGAAAACCUAAAACUACAACAAAAUCAAAUAGUGCACCCUAAAAACAGGGUUUCUGUGGCAGAAACUUGUUUGGAUGUGGAGCUCAGUCAGGGGAUAUGUGCAAGGGAGCACCACAGAUGGGCUAUGCAUGCUGGAGCCUCCAUGCUGGGGAACAUCCACUUGGCACCUUUCUCUGGGCUGUAGCCCUCUGUACUUCAGCCAUCUCAG